rnacentral:rRNA from 1 species
AUUGAACGCUGGCGGCAGGCUUAACACAUGCAAGUCGAGCGGAGAUGAGGUGCUUGCACCUUAUCUUAGCGGCGGACGGGUGAGUAAUGCUUAGGAAUCUGCCUAUUAGUGGGGGACAACAUUCCGAAAGGAAUGCUAAUACCGCAUACGUCCUACGGGAGAAAGCAGGGGAUCUUCGGACCUUGCGCUAAUAGAUGAGCCUAAGUCGGAUUAGCUAGUUGGUGGGGUAAAGGCCUACCAAGGCGACGAUCUGUAGCGGGUCUGAUAGGAUGAACCGGCACGCAGGCGCCGAGACACGGCCCAGACGCCUGCGGGAGGCAGCAGUUGGGAAUAUUGGAGAAUGGGGGAAACCCUGAUCCAGCCAUGCCGGGUGUGUGAAGAAGGCCUUAUGGUUGUAAAGCACUUUAAGCGAGGAGGAGGCUACUGAGACUAAUACUCUUGGAUAGUGGACGUUACUCGCAGAAUAAGCACCGGCUAACUCUGUGCCAGCCGCCGCAGUAA